AGAGACUAAUCCUAAGCAAAAACUUAAAAGUUAAGAGUUGAAAAGAUCUGACCAAUGGGAUGCAAUCCAAUAGACAAGAAUGUCAUAUAGAAACCCCUUUUUCCUUUGGACUUUAAAAUCAAGCAAUAUCAAUAAGCAAGCAAGAUGAAGAGCAAGGCAUCAAAUAAAGAUAGCCACAUCCAAGCAAGCAACUUCAUAGUCUUCUUCUUAAUCUUCCC
rnacentral:lncRNA from 1 species